GGGUUGUGAGGUUAAGCGACUAAGCGUACACGGUGGAUGCCCUGGCAGUCAGAGGCGAUGAAGGACGUGCUAAUCUGCGAUAAGCGCCGGUAAGGUGAUAUGAACCGUUAUAACCGGCGAUUUCCGAAUGGGGAAACCCAGUGUGAUUCGUCACACUAUCAUUAACUGAAUCCAUAGGUUAAUGAGGCGAACCGGGGGAACUGAAACAUCUAAGUACCCCGAGGAAAAGAAAUCAACCGAGAUUCCCCCAGUAGCGGCGAGCGAACGGGGAGGAGCCCAGAGCCUGAAUCAGCAUGUGUGUUAGUGGAAGCGUCUGGAAAGGCGCGCGAUACAGGGUGACAGCCCCGUACACAAAAGCGCAUGUGCUGUGAGCUCGAUGAGUAGGGCGGGACACGUGGUAUCCUGUCUGAAUAUGGGGGGACCAUCCUCCAAGGCUAAAUACUCCUGACUGACCGAUAGUGAACCAGUACCGUGAGGGAAAGGCGAAAAGAACCCCGGCGAGGGGAGUGAAAAAGAACCUGAAACCGUGUACGUACAAGCAGUGGGAGCACCCUUUGGGGUGUGACUGCGUACCUUUUGUAUAAUGGGUCAGCGACUUAUAUUCUGUAGCAAGGUUAACCGUAUAGGGGAGCCGGAGGGAAACCGAGUCUUAAUUGGGCGUUAAGUUGCAGGGUAUAGACCCGAAACCCGGUGAUCUAGCCAUGGGCAGGUUGAAGGUUGGGUAACACUAACUGGAGGACCGAACCGACUAAUGUUGAAAAAUUAGCGGAUGACCUGUGGCUGGGGGUGAAAGGCCAAUCAAACCGGGAGAUAGCUGGUUCUCCCCGAAAGCUAUUUAGGUAGCGCCUCGUGAAUUCAUCUCCGGGGGUAGAGCACUGUUUCGGCUAGGGGGCCAUCCCGGCUUACCAACCCGAUGCAAACUGCGAAUACCGGAGAAUGUUAUCACGGGAGACACACGGCGGGUGCUAACGUCCGUCGUGAAGAGGGAAACAACCCAGACCGCCAGCUAAGGUCCCAAAGUCAUGGUUAAGUGGGAAACGAUGUGGGAAGGCCCAGACAGCCAGGAUGUUGGCUUAGAAGCAGCCAUCAUUUAAAGAAAGCGUAAUAGCUCACUGGUCGAGUCGGCCUGCGCGGAAGAUGUAACGGGGCUAAACCAUGCACCGAAGCUGCGGCAGCGACACUGUGUGUUGUUGGGUAGGGGAGCGUUCUGUAAGCCUGUGAAGGUGGCCUGUGAGGGUUGCUGGAGGUAUCAGAAGUGCGAAUGCUGACAUAAGUAACGAUAAAGCGGGUGAAAAGCCCGCUCGCCGGAAGACCAAGGGUUCCUGUCCAACGUUAAUCGGGGCAGGGUGAGUCGACCCCUAAGGCGAGGCCGAAAGGCGUAGUCGAUGGGAAACGGGUUAAUAUUCCCGUACUUGGUGUUACUGCGAAGGGGGGACGGAGAAGGCUAUGUUGGCCGGGCGACGGUUGUCCCGGUUUAAGCGUGUAGG
rnacentral:rRNA from 1 species